rnacentral:ncRNA from 1 species
AUGUAGGUGCAAGUGAAAGAGAUUGCGAAUGGCCGAUUAAAUAAGUUAUGGUCAUGGUUCUUUUUGAUCGUCACAUUGCAGAUGUGCACAUGUUGUAAUGUUAGGUCUGCCCCGUCACUUGGGUGACUAUGACCCAGCCGAUCGCGCCGAGGACAGGGCAUCAUUAGAAUGUCUACUUUAUCAACUUUCGAUGGCAGGCUCUGUGCCUUACCAUGGUGGGAACGAGUGACGGGAAUCAGUGUUCGGUUCCGUAGAGGAGGCAUGAGAAACGGCUACCACGCCCAACUGGAGG